rnacentral:lncRNA from 10 species
AUCUCAGGUUCCCAAGUAGCUGGGGAUACAGGUGGUAAACAUGAUUCUAACCUUUAUAAUCUUACAAGGUUAAAGAGAUGUCGACAAGACCAAAGAGUAUCAACUAAUUUGCCAUACAGGAACAUAAAGAGACUUCUCCUGCAUUCUCACUGAAUGGGUUCUAUAAAACCAGUCACCAGACAUGAGGGAAGAAAUUCAGCAUGCUGUAUGCUUUCAGAUUUCACCUCAAGGAAACCUGGGAAUUCCUGCACCCCCAAGACCAUAACAUGACGAAACUGGAAGUACAACGUGGAGGUCUACCUAAUCCAUCUUGGCUUGUUUUAAUGCAACUAAUAACAAUAAUACAUCACUAAAUGAAAUAUUCAGGACAAAUGCUAAAUUAGACAGAAUGUCAGACAAUGGGUAAAACCAGACCUCCCAGGCAAAUUGGGAUGCAGGUACAUUCACUCCCCCCAGUCAGCAUCUUUGUAUUCAGCACACCGCACCCUUCUCUUCAGUUACUUAUACUUUUCCCCUCUGUUUUGAUAUUUUGCAAAGUGGGCCUGAUAUGGUUUGGCUGUGUCCCCACCCAAAUCUCAUGUUGAAGUGUAACUCCACAGUUCUUACGUGUUGUGGGAGGAACCCGUGGGAGCUGAUGGAAUUAUGCAGGCCGGUCUUUCCUGCACUGUUCUCAUGAUAGCGAAUGAGUCUCACGAGAUCUGAUGGUUUUCAAAAUGGAGGUUUCUCUGCACAAGCUCUCUUUUUGCCUGCUGCCAUCCACCUAAGAUGUGAUUUGCUCCUCCUUGACUUUCACCAUGAUUGUGAGGCCUCCCCAGCCGUGUGGAACUGUAACUCCAAUAAACCUCUUUCUUUUGUAAAUUGUCCAGUCUUGGGUAUGUCUUUAUCAGCAGCACGAAAAUGGACUAAUAGAGGGCCCUUGAGAUCUAUUAGAGAUAUUCAAUAUUGCAAUUAUAUUUUAGGGCAAAUCUAAAACAAAAUUUAGCCAAAGCAUACCCUGGGUCAACUGGAUGACUUCAUUUGUAACCGACCAUUGAUGUGAUUUUAUUGCCUCUGUCUGCAGGUAUGUAUACCAAAUGAAAUUCCAAAAUGCCAACAUAUAACUUUUAAUGUAAUUUCCUGAAUCAGAGAUUGUGGAACUGUGGGAUACUGUAGAAGUAUCUUCAGGGGUCUAUGAAUAUUCUAGCUUUUGUAUUUUUGAAACUGCUCUAUUUUUAAACAUUUAUUUAGAAGUUCAAUUAAAUUUUAAACUUCACUGAGGCACAGGACCCUACCCCUAUUUUCAUUAUUUAUAUCUUUUACUACCAAAUUCCAUGUUUUCUAUUCAGGUUAUUCUUAGAAAAUAGUUACAGAAUAAGUAUCCCAAGA